rnacentral:rRNA from 1 species
GACGAACGCUGGCGGCGUGCCUAAUACAUGCAAGUUGAGCGAUGAAGAUUGGUGCUUGCACCAAUUUGAAGAGCAGCGAACGGGUGAGUAACGCGUGGGGAAUCUGCCUUUGAGCGGGGGACAACAUUUGGAAACGAAUGCUAAUACCGCAUAACAACUUUAAACAUAAGUUUUAAGUUUGAAAGAUGCAAUUGCAUCACUCAAAGAUGAUCCCGCGUUGUAUUAGCUAGUUGGUGAGGUAAAGGCUCACCAAGGCGAUGAUACAUAGCCGACCUGAGAGGGUGAUCGGCCAAAUUGGGACUGAGACACGGCCCAAACUCCUACGGGAGGCAGUAGUAGGGAAUCUUCGGCAAUGGACGAAAGUCUGACCGAGCAACGCCGCGUGAGUGAAGAAGGUUUUCGGAUCGUAAAACUCUGUUGGUAGGGAAGAACGUUGGUGAGAGUGGAAAGCUCAUCAAGUGACGGUAACUACCCAGAAAGGGACGGCUAACUACGUG